rnacentral:rRNA from 1 species
GUCGAGCGGACAGAUGGGAGCUUGCUCCCUGAUGUCAGCGGCGGACGGGUGAGUAACACGUGGGUAACCUGCCUGUAAGACUGGGAUAACUCCGGGAAACCGGGGCUAAUACCGGAUGCUUGUUUGAACCGCAUGGUUCAAACAUAAAAGGUGGCUUCGGCUACCACUUACAGAUGGACCCGCGGCGCAUUAGCUAGUUGGUGAGGUAACGGCUCACCAAGGCAACGAUGCGUAGCCGACCUGAGAGGGUGAUCGGCCACACUGGGACUGAGACACGGCCCAGACUCCUACGGGAGGCAGCAGUAGGGAAUCUUCCGCAAUGGACGAAAGUCUGACGGAGCAACGCCGCGUGAGUGAUGAAGGUUUUCGGAUCGUAAAGCUCUGUUGUUAGGGAAGAACAAGUGCCGUUCGAAUAGGGCGGCACCUUGACGGUACCUAACCAGAAAGCCACGGCUAACUACGUGCCAGCAGCCGCGGUAAUACGUAGGUGGCAAGCGUUGUCCGGAAUUAUUGGGCGUAAAGGGCUCGCAGGCGGUUUCUUAAGUCUGAUGUGAAAGCCCCCGGCUCAACCGGGGAGGGUCAUUGGAAACUGGGGAACUUGAGUGCAGAAGAGGAGAGUGGAAUUCCACGUGUAGCGGUGAAAUGCGUAGAGAUGUGGAGGAACACCAGUGGCGAAGGCGACUCUCUGGUCUGUAACUGACGCUGA